AGUCAUGUCUGACUAGCUGCCGAGAAGGCACAGACAUGGGAUUUGAUGUCUUGGACUGCUCUGUGUAAAGUAUCGUAUGUAUUCAGUUUUAGAGAUCUAGGUCUCGGGUAAAUCUCGAGUAGAUUGGUUUGAGUUGGAAGGGAUCUUAAAGCUCAUCCAGUUCCACCCCAGCAGGCAGGGACACCUUCCACUAGACCAUAUUGCUCAAAGCCAGGCCUUGAAGAUUCUCCAGCUUUCUUGAGUAUUAUUAGAAGAGGCUUCUAAACGCUCUACUGCUGCUGUUGCAUGUUGUGUAGGGUUGUGAAAUCAUCUAGGUGAACAGUUAGCUCCUUAGAGGGUCCACGGAUAAGGAAAUCGUGUGUCCCAGUAGUCGAAAGGUGGAAGAAAACAACUAAAUGAGAUUACAUUCAUUGUUAAUUAAGAUUAAGUUACCUUUAGUAAUACUUUCCAUUACCAUUCAUUCUAUAAUUUGGCAAACUUUAGUAGUCUAGUAACUUAUUUUAAUAAUGCCUGACAGUGUGUUUACUCCAGGCAACAAUAUAACUUCUUACUGACUGCGUUUGAGAGAGUUGACUGUCAGCAGUAGCUUUCUGUUGCUCUAAAAACUUGUAUGAUCAGAAUGAGCUAAGAUGACAAUAAAACACACUGAAAGGCAUGUAACUCUUGUCAUUUUUGUUUGAAAAAACUUGUUUCAUGGACCCAGAUUAACCUGCAUUUAGAAAAAAAAGUUAUUAGGUAUUAACUUUGUCUGAUUUCACAUAUACCUGCGUAUCUAAAUCAGCACUAGAAGUAAUCAUCCAAAACUGGUCUCUAAUUUGGAGCCAGGAAAAUAGAUUUCUGCGAUUUAGGCCAAAUAAAUACUCCUGGCUGUAAACCAGGCAGCUUCAAAGCUGUACAGAGCUGUAUGAUGGUGACCAUACUGCACACGCAUAGAAGGCUUAAACUGCAGGGGACCUGGGGAGAGACAGAAUCUCUUUCUGUGACUUUAAACAUGGAUACUGCUCCAAACACAGUAUCAAAGCAACUCAUUUCUGGAUUUCAAAGGUGCCAUUCCGAGAUGAGGGAAAUUUCUGAGGAGUCUUUGGGUUUGACUCUGGGGUGUAUACAUGUUCAAAAUAUGCAAAGAAUCAUCUGUUAACUAGCUGUAUUAAGCGAUUAUAUUCUAGUUGUUAAUAUUUAUGGGGCUUUGUUAUAAAAGUGUUUAUAUGGUAUUUCACACAUUUCUAAUUCAUCCAAAGAUGUUCUAGUUACCAGAUUAAUUCUUAAUAAUCUGAUACGUUUAGCUGUAACUAGGAACACCAGUGAAACAACCCAAGGAAAUUUUUAGUUCUAAGAAUUAUGAAAACUAUUGAAAUUGUAUUGCAAAAGCCUUUCCUGUUCAGAGCAUUUUAUCACUGAAGUUCAUGCAAACAGGCCUCUUCCUAUUUGUUGCUUGCUGUUCAUACUUGAAAGUUAUUUCUUAUACAGGUCUUCAUUUUGUCCUAGAUGCAGGUUAUUGAUGGAUACUUUCUAGUCUGGGAUGGUUUUUAUUUUCCUCGUUAUAUGACAUUUAUGGGAUGUUCAUGGUGUGCUAGCUGCAUGGUUGCUCAACAGUGCUACUUUAGCAGCAAAGUAAAUAACACAAUUCUCAGUAGCUGCUGGCAAUACAAGUUCAGCGGCCCUAAAUUGUACCUAAGAGUUAAAAAGUGAGUGUAGGCAGAUGUGUUAUCUAUGAUUGAGCUGCUCAACACUUGCCUUUAGUCAGAGUAGCUGCAAACAGGAUCUUUAAACUGUGACAAACUUCUGUUGUUUCAGAAUGACUGCUUUAGGCAGGUGUUCGCCUCAGGAUGAGUUCUUUAUUUUUCAAAAUACUGUCUUUGAGGAGACUGAUACCUCAGCUUACACUAAGAGAUGAGGAAAAUACUGUUUUCCCAUGUUAGAAGCCAUUUUGCUUUCAUUCCUUUCCGUUUCUCAAGCAAAAGAGACAUAAGAAACCAAGAAAACUGUGACAUUUGACCAUGGUAUAAAUGCUGUGAGAAAGAAGGGGAAAGUAUAGCUUCAGGCAAACAUACUUAAUAAAGCUUCCUCCUUAAGGAAGUCAUCCUGCUUAAACAGGCUGAACUGUGUCGUUUUCAAAGAGUAAUGAAUAAGUUCAGAUAUGGCUCUGUCAGAAGAGGUGUUAGGGAAAAUAACCUUUUCUUGCACUCUGUCUUUGCUCUGAGACCUAGACUGAGAAUUUAAAUGUUUACUAGCAGAUGAUUUAGGUGCUAAAGAAGCCUGAAAUAGCAGAUGCACAGUUGCAGGAUUUGACAUAAAUUGACAGAGUAGAUUACAGCCAUCAAGUGUGGCUGAGGAGAUUCUAGCUGAAGUACAGGAGCUUACAAGUCUGUACACCUCAUCCUGUGUAGAGGAUGGAAGUUGCAUGGGGAGUGGAUGGAAUAGUGAUUAAAUAUAAUGUCUGCUAUAGUUGUGUCUACUACUAUAGAAAAAUACUUCCAUGUUGGCACUUCAUCCUUUUAUCUAAACAUCAUGGAUGGUGGCUCUAGCAUUUGGCAGACUGCCUGUCUGUAGAUACUGCACACCUUUCAUGAAAGGUGAGGGUGGUACAGGCUGUGGCUUUAAAGUGUAGGUAAGAGGAGGCAUCCUGUCUGUUUUAAUUUGCUAAUAAGAGAACAGUGAUAAUACCGGAUUAUAGAAGAGCAUUUUUCAGUAGGACAGUGUACCCUGAAUCAAGAUUAUGCAACUUGAAAAAUGUCAAGUGUUCUCCUUUCUAAGUUGCACAUGCAGAAGGAAGAGGUACAGACUUGUCUUUGGCACAUGAUGGGUGCAGUCUGCAGAAUUUUAUGCUUGUGAUUGCAACUCAUAGAGACCUGAGCCAUCUUCUGAAUUGACAGAAUGGCUGGCAAGGAGUUCAUCUGCAAACCCUUCCUGUCAGCUGUCAGCUGACCUGAGCUGUUGCGCUCAGCUCUAUUGCUGUUGCUUCAUUAAAGGUGUACCAUGCUAAAAUUUACCAAAAUGGCACAGAUUUGCAAUCUUGGAAAAAAUGUGUCACAGAAUCCUACAAUGGUUGGGGGUUAGAAGAGACCUUAAAGCUCAUCCAGUUCCAACACCCUGCUGUGGGCAGGGCCGCCUUCCACCAGACCAGGUUGAUCCAAGCCCCAUCCAGCCUGGCGUGUCGAUCUGUUUACUGUAUGCAAAUAGAAAUUUGCUGCUUAACAAUGCAACUAAUAGUAAAUUAAUGCAGUAAGGCUUGAAACAUGAUUUGUUGUUCUUGGAAUACACAGAAUAUUUUAUACCUUUGCAUGUACUUGCUGUCAAUUAAUGUUAUAUUAACUUUCAUCCAUAUCUGCACUCUUACUGACCUCAAAUUCAAAGCAGGAAUUUAGGAAGACUAAACUGAAAAGCAGUAAUAGCCAUGUUGGGAAAUGAGUAAAGCAUGAAUAAGAGAUGGGAUCACCGUGGAGGUCUGAUGUGCUGGAGAGACUGGUAAGCAAACGAGCAGAUGCAGUUAGUGGAAGAGGAAAGAAAAAGUGGAGUCCAAGGAUGACUUCUGUGUUCUUGGAACAAUGUUACUGUUCUAUGAAUGCCGUUUCUGCCUCUUUAGCGACAGCCAGCGAGCAAUGGAAAUACACUGUCACCAAGAGGUGAAGUUGGAGAGGGGUAGAGGAAAUAAUUACUCUUAGUGCUCUAAGGCUUUGGCUUUUAUUCUUUCAGUACAUUCACCAUCUGAAACAAUUCAUGUUGCCUGUGAAAACAACACAUUAUUCACAGAUAAAAUAACCUGCAGUCAUUCUCUGCAGCCCCUAGAAGCAAAGCAUUAAACAUACCAUUUUGCAAUGGACAGUUAGAAAUACAGUGAGGAUUGCUUUUAAUCCCAGUAUUAUGACUGGUGUUUGCCUACUGCUAAACCCUCCAAAACAUGCCUGGGUCUCUCAUUAUGUAUUGCAGUAAAGCCACCCUUUUCAUCCUUCCCAGUGUUUCCUCAACACAUCUGUAAGGAUGAGGGAGGCCCAGUGUCUGCAGUUCUAUCCUGUUGACAUCAGUGGGGGAGCCCACCACUGGGGGCCUUUAGAAAGGCUCACUGUGAUCUAGUGAUUGCUUCCACUCCUCUCUUUCAUGCCACAGCUACUCUCUAAGAAAAUAAAACCAACAUCUUCCUAAUACA